UACGGCUGAUUUGUAAUGUUGUCUUGAGCGCAUACAGAUAUUUCAUUCGACAACUAUGGAUCGCUGUCGUUUUGCUUUUGUCAUUGGCAUUAUAAAUGUAAUUUAUUACGCUGUGAGCACCAUAGUUUUUACCGCGAUGAUAAUCAAAACUGAGCUUGACAAGAAACUAGUGGCUAGUUCUAGUCCAUACAUAUUGGGUUUGUGUUGCGGUCUGAUUAUGGUAUCUGUAUCGAUACUGAUGAUAGUGGGGGCCGCUAAAUCACGACAUUCUUUUAUUGCUCCUUGGGUAUUAUUAACUGGUUUCGGUCUGGUCAUUGGUACUUUUUAUUUAUUAAUCUUCGGUUACACGGUUCCAAUUUGGGAGCUGUUUAACUACAUCACAUUUAUUGUCCAUAAUUUUAACAUGGAAAUGUAAAUCGAAAUAAGGAUUUAUACCUUGGCCGCAAAUAAGUCUAGAAGGAAGUUGUUAUUGUUUGUGGUAUCCAAAGAAUAACUAUCAUUUGCGGAAUAACCACUUAUUUCGCUUGGCAUACGCCCGUUAUAAUAAUGCCAUCGCAAUCCGUAAGCUGCUAUUCAAUUUAUCUUUUCUGGAAAGAUACAAAAAAUGGAGUAUACAACAAUGACUUACAUAUCGCAGAGCUUUCGAAUCCCCCGCCUUAUGUGCAUUCCUCGGCAACAAUAUGUACCAGCUAUGAAAUAAAUGAUGCUGUAUUGUGAAUCAUCAGAUAAUAGUA